rnacentral:rRNA from 1 species
GACGAACGCUGGCGGCGUGCCUAAUACAUGCAAGUAGAACGCUGAAGGAGGAGCUUGCUCUUCUGGAUGAGUUGCGAACGGGUGAGUAACGCGUAGGUAACCUGCCUGGUAGCGGGGGAUAACUAUUGGAAACGAUAGCUAAUACCGCAUAACAGUAGAUGUUGCAUGACAUUUACUUAAAAGGUGCAAUUGCAUCACUACCAGAUGGACCUGCGUUGUAUUAGCUAGUUGGUGGGGUAACGGCUCACCAAGGCGACGAUACAUAGCCGACCUGAGAGGGUGAUCGGCCACACUGGGACUGAGACACGGCCCAGACUCCUACGGGAGGCAGCAGGAGGGAAUCUUCGGCAAUGGACGGAAGUCUGACCGAGCAACGCCGCGUGAGUGAAGAAGGUUUUCGGAUCGUAAAGCUCUGUUGUAAGAGAAGAACGGGUGUGAGAGUGGAAAGUUCACACUGUGACGGUAUCUUACCAGAAAGGGACGGCUAACUACGUG